rnacentral:rRNA from 1 species
UACAGAGGUCUCAAGCGUUGUUCGGAUUCAUUGGGCGUAAAGAGCUCGUAGGCGGUGUGUCGCGUCGGCCGUGAAAACCUGCAGCUUAACUGUGGGCGUGCGGUCGAUACGGGCAUCACUGGAGUUCGGCAGGGGAGACUGGAAUUCCUGGUGUAGCGGUGAAAUGCGCAGAUAUCAGGAGGAACACCGGUGGCGAAGGCGGGUCUCUGGGCCGAUACUGACGCUGAGGAGCGAAAGCGUGGGGAGCGAACAGG